AUCCCUCGAUCCCACGUAACCCCUUCGAUCAAUGCGCCUCGCGAAGCCUCGGGCCAUGCCCCGCGCCCGAUUCCCACGUGCGGGAGCUCGCGCAUGCAGGGGAGGUCGCUAGCGCGCGCCUCCGCGGGCGGCGGAGGGGAUGGAGCGCGGCGGGGCGGCGGCGGCGGCGGCGGCGGCAGCGGCGGAGGCGGCGGAGGCGGCGGUGAUGGUGAAGCGGGAGGUGAUCGUGGCGCGCGUGACGUGCCCCCUGUGCAAGAGGCUCCUACGCGACGCCACCACCAUAUCCGAGUGCCUCCACACGUUUUGCAAAAAAUGCAUCUUCGAGAAGCUCAGUGAUGAGGAGACAGACUGCUGCCCAGUCUGUAAUAUUGAUCUGGGUUGUACCCCGAUUGAGAAGCUCAGGCCUGAUCACAGUCUACAAGAUAUAAGGUCAAAAAUAUUUCCUUUCAAAAGAAGGAAGGUCGAGGCUCCAGAAGCUGUUACAUUGCCUCUAAGAAGGAAAGAAAAGUCACUUUCUUCAUUGGUAGUCAGCACUCCUAAGGUUUCAACACCGGCAGGCUUUACAGGGCGGCGAACAAAAGCUAUUCCUCGAAGGACUUCUGCUUUACGUGGCUUAGGUCCUAUUGUCAGUGAAUCUGUGAAACAAGAACAUGAGAAUGCUGACAGACGCGAAGAAAAAUCAAGUUCACCUGACACUAUGAGCAAAAUGGCUCAAAACAAAAGACAGGCUACUUCUAAUGGAGAACCAUCCAACCACGUUAAUGGCAGUCAGCUCUUUGCAGAAAGGUCCGAGCUUUGGAAACCUUUAAAUUGUCUUGUUGAAGCUGCCAACAGAACGAAGUCUCUAAAAUCCGGCCCACAAAGUCCUAAUAUCAAGGAUGAGCAACUUAAUGGCCCUGAUACUGAUGGGCACAUCCACAGAGCAAAGGUUAGGGAGCAUUCACAGAAGUCCAAAGUACAGGAUGGAAAGAAUGGAAGUGUUUUUACUCCUGCAGCAACAUUCAGAGCUAAAAGAGCUCAAGGAAUAAGCCGGAAAAGGAGGGAACGUGGAGCUUCUGCUCAUUCCUUGCUUGGUGCAGCAGCUGCUCAUGGUCAACGGAGGUUCAAUCCAAUUUGGUUCUCAUUAAUAGCCUCUUUUGAUCAGAAAGGAGAUCCUCCUUUACCGCAGAUACCUACAAAUUAUUUGAGAAUCAAGUGAAAAUUUCCAAACUUGGACCCGCAACUCACUCGCUCAUCUACUCGGAAAAGUUUGAAUGGUUUAUAAUUUUCAUCUGGUUAGUUGUGGGUGACCUCAAAACACCCAGAUGGCAGUUGGAUCCGAUUUGGUCUUGCCACUUCCAAUAUUAUGGCUUGUGAAUUAUGUACUAGUGUAGUUUUAGUUUAUGAUUUAACGUCUAAGUUAUAUAUAUUCAAACUAUGCAGGAAGGAAGGGAAUCAGAUUUGGCAGCUAACUGGAAAAUAUAUCAGAUAUUGGAGUACCACAAAACCAUGAUUUUCUGAAUAGAACCUCUUCUUUCAUUGCCUGUCUUAAAUUUUAGCAAAAAGCACCCUAUUCUUGAACAUUGUUUCCAUCAUCAGGCUUGUAUGAAUCCAUAUGAUUUCGACUGUUUUGGUCCUUGUCUUUAUUCUGUUUUGGUCCUUGUCUUUAUCCACGCCUCUUGAUAUUUAAUGCAGUGGAUUUGCGUUGGGGGAUUUUGUCUAACUACAAAGUGAUUUGACUUCAUGUGUCAACGACUUUUAUUGUCCUUGAUUCCUAAACAUAUGUUAAAUUGUUGUAAAGAUCUAUGCUGUGAAACAUGAAGAUUAUCAAAGUUUGACACAUGAAAGCCCUUUAACGAGUAUGUUUUUUACUUGCAUGUAGCUCAAUUCUUUGGAGCUAACUAAUUUGUUGACUAUUGAGCAUUAAUAUGCAUAGGUAUUUGUUGCUCUAUGCUUAAUGUAUUAUUGGUUUUGCAAAUGGCUCAUUCAUGCUUAUACUUUUUAGAGACGGCAACAUUCCUGCUUCCUUCAUCAAAAAGUACCUUGUGCAGAAACUUAAUCUUUCAAAUGAAGCUGAGGUGGAAAUUACAUGUCGAGGACAGCUAGUAGAGCCGACACUGACUCUUCAGAACCUAGUAGAAAUAUGGCUAAGAG